rnacentral:sRNA from 1 species
CAGGAAAAGGACCAGGGAAAAGGAGAGGUCCAACAAUCAAGAUAUCCGGAGUUCAGGUUAAUGUGAAAUCCAUUAUCCAACAUGAAGAGGAGUUUGAGAUGCUGCAUAAAUCUAUCCCUGUGGACCCUGAAGAAAAAAAAAAAUACUGCUUAACCUGUCGUGUCAAAGCUGCACAUUUUGAUGUAGAGUGGGGGGUGGAAGAUGAUUCUCGCCUGUUGCUGGGGAUUUAUGAACAUGGCUAUGGAAACUGGGAGUUAAUUAAAACAGACCCAGAGCUUAAAUUAACUGACAAAGUAAGUAACCCUACCAUGCUAGAGAUUUCUAGAAGAUUUGUUGUGUAAUAUUUUUAUAUCGAUUACUUAUUUCUAACUAUUUUCAAGGGGGCAUCAAAUUAGAAAUUAGUAUAGUCAUUCUUGGAAAUACUUCCAUCUUUAGUGGAUUGUGGCACUGUUUCACGGAUGAAGAUAAAGGGAAAAGACAGUAGCCAGGUGAAAUUUUGGGGAAACUGUAGGAGAAAUCUUAAAAUUCUGGUA